rnacentral:rRNA from 1 species
UGAGGGAAUAUUGGGUCAAUGGGGUGGAAGCCUGAACCAGCCAAGUAGCGUGCAGGACGACGGCCCUAUGGGUUGUAAACCUCUUUUGUCGGGGAGUAACGUGCGGGACGGGUCCCGUAUUGAGAGUACCCGAAGAAAAAGCAUCGGCUAACUCCGUGCCAGCAGCCGCGGUAAUACGGAGGAUGCGAGCGUUAUCCGGAUUUAUUGGGUUUAAAGGGUGCGCAGGCGGCGCGCCAAGUCAGCGGUCAAAGUUCCGGGCUCAACCCGGUGUCGCCGUUGAAACUGGCGUGCUCGAGUGCGUGCGAGGAAGGCGGAAUGCGUUGUGUAGCGGUGAAAUGCAUAGAUAUGACGCAGAACUCCGAUUGCGAAGGCAGCUUUCCAGCGCGCUACUGACGCUGAGGCACGAAAGCGUGGGGAU